AAGGGACAGCCUCGGUCUUUCUACUUCCUUUUGGAAGUCAGGGCAAGGUGUCUAUUAAAUGAGCAUUUCUUGUUUGCUGGUCUAAGGACGCUCCCAGGCUGCGUGUCUCCUUCCUUUCUGGGGUGCUGCUGGGUUUCUAAGAAAAGACAGGUUGCCCAAACAGCAGCUGUGUUUUCACCCACAGGGUUGGGACUCCAGGUCCAGUAGGAUUGCCUCACGGAAGAGAACAUUGGGUCACUGCAGGAAACAUUUUUUUUUUUCCCUCCAGGGUGGUAUAACUGGAAGUCAUUUGAUCUCUGCAUAUUCUUACAUUGACAGUCAUGAGUCAGUUUUAUACUUAGGAAAAAUGAAGUACAGAAAGAAUGAGCAAUUUGACCACACUUUCUCUUUUCUUUGCAGGCACAGGAUGGUGAGAUUCAGAAGGUGUGACUUGUAUAAGGUAACCCCAGUCUCCUCCCCUUCUUUGAAUCUCUCUCCCCCUCCAGCCCACCCAGAGAAACUUUCCUAUGGAUCUUCAAUAGACAAGAGCAGUGGAAAGAAACUGGACGUGGGUGAUCAAAAAGCUAGCUGCAACCUGGAGAUGAGACAGAAAGCCCCUCAAAGCAUACUGCAUACAUUAAAGCAGCUGAGAAAGAAAAAAAAAAUCAGCAAGUGUUUUUAACAUAAAGCUCUAGAGCCUACGUUUCCUGUGUCGCGUUGAGGACGCUCAGUUGCCUGUCUUACCCACGGACCUUAGAUCCUGGCGGAGGGUCCGAGUUGGACUCGCAAAAGAUCAUACCAGUCAAUCCUAAAGGAAAUCAAUCCUGAAUAUUCAUUGGAAGGACUGAUGAUGAAGCUGAAGCUCUAAUACUUUGGCCACCUGAUGCAAAGAACUGACUCAUUGGGAAAGACCCUGAUACUGGGAAAGAUUGAAGGCAGGAAAAGGGGAUGACAGGACGAGAUGGUUGGAUGACGUCACAGACUCAAUGGACAUGAGUUUGAACAAGCUCUGGGAGAUGGUGAAGGACAGGGAAGCCUGGUGUGCUGCAGUCCAUGGGGUCACAAAGAGUUGGACACAACUGAGCAACUGAACAACAACAAUAUAUGUGCAUUUGUAUUCUGCCUUUUCCCCCAUUUCACGUGAUAUUACAAAAAUUGUCAACUUAAUUGAAAGUACCAUUUUAAAUGGCUACAAAGUAUUCUAUGAGGUCAUUAUAAAAUAGCUCAUAUAACCAUUUCCUUUUUUAAAAAAUGUGUUUAUAUGAUUUCAUUGCUUUUGCUAUGGUAAAUAACACUGACAUGAACAUCUUGGGGCACAAAGAUUUUUUUCUGUGUUUAGGAUUAUUUCCUUAGCAUAGAGUCUCAGAAGGGAAAUUAUUGAGUCAGAGGCAUUGAAGGCAUUGAUGUUUAUUGCUAAAGUACUAGCCCGGAGAAGAUGUUGCUGUGAUUUAGACUGCCCUCAAUAUAUAUAACAGUGUCAGAACUGGGUGUAUUGUCAUUCUAAGAAAAGCUUUGCCUGAAUCUGCAUUUCUUUGAUUAACAGUGGGGACAAAUCUAAUAAUUAUACAAACCAUGGCAGCAUGUCUUAAUUGAUAUGCCAAUUUAAAAAAAGCAGAUACUACAUCAUUGGUGCAUUUUCCUCCAGGAGCCCAAGAAAGACUGAAUGAGGGCAUUUUCUGGUGAGGAUAGGAGAAUCAAGUGUCCUGAACAGCCUCAAUAAAACAGCUGAUAAGGGGAUUUGCAGAUAAGGCAGAAGGACAUAUGGCUGGACUAUUACUCUGUAGCUCAUAUUUUAAGCCUUAUCAGAAUAGAGAGGCCUACUCCCCUGUGAAUGACGGCUACAUUGGACAGUGCAAGGAAAAAAUCCACACACUGCAGGUAGACAGUCAGAGCUGCUGGAAGCAUGUGUGGUGGGACUUAAGAUGGAAAAUGCUGCGAUUGGAGAAGCCUUAGUGAACUCUGGGAGGUUAAGAGUCUUCAAACAUUUUGUUUUAGUUUGAUUUACUUGGGGAAUAUUUGGGGGCUUCCUAGGUGGCGCUAGUGGUAAAGAACCCACUUGCCAG